CCUACGGGUGACAGCAGUGGGGAAUAUUGCACAAUGGGGGAAACCCUGAUGCAGCGACGCCGCGUGAGUGAAGAAGUAUUUCGGUACGUAAAGCUCUAUCAGCAGGGAAGAAAAUGACGGUACCUGACUAAGAAGCCCCGGCUAACUACGUGCCAGCAGCCGCGGUAAUACGUAGGGGGCAAGCGUUAUCCGGAUUUACUGGGUGUAAAGGGAGCGUAGACGGCAGCGCAAGUCUGGAGUGAAAUCCCAUGGCUUAACCAUGGAACUGCUUUGGAAACUGUGCAGCUAGAGUGCAGGAGAGGUAAGCGGAAUUCCGAGUGUAGCGGUGAAAUGCGUAGAUAGUAGGAGGAACACCAGUGGCGAAGGCGGCUUACUGGACUGUAACUGACGUUGAGGCUCGAAAGCGUGGGGAGCAAACAGGAUUAGAUACCCUGUAGUC
rnacentral:rRNA from 1 species